CUAGGCUUGAGGGAUGACCAGCCCAACUGUUCGGCAACGGGUUCAAAGGUAAAUAUGAUCAUCACGGAUUAUUGCAUGCCCGGAAUGACAGGUUACGAGCUACU